rnacentral:rRNA from 1 species
UGCUGCUUCGCUGACGAGUGGCGGACGGGUGAGUAAUGUCUGGGAAACUGCCUGAUGGAGGGGGAUAACUACUGGAAACGGUGGCUAAUACCGCAUAACGUCGCAAGACCAAAGAGGGGGACCUUCGGGCCUCUUGCCAUCAGAUGUGCCCAGAUGGGAUUAGCUUGUUGGUGAGGUAACGGCUCACCAAGGCGACGAUCCCUAGCUGGUCUGAGAGGAUGACCAGCCACACUGGAACUGAGACACGGUCCAGACUCCUACGGGAGGCAGCAGUGGGGAAUAUUGCACAAUGGGCGCAAGCCUGAUGCAGCCAUGCCGCGUGUAUGAAGAAGGCCUUCGGGUUGUAAAGUACUUUCAGCGGGGAGGAAGGCGUUGUGGUUAAUAACCGCAGCAAUUGACGUUACCCGCAGAAGAAGCACCGGCUAACUCCGUGCCAGCAGCCGCGGUAAUACGGAGGGUGCAAGCGUUAAUCGGAAUUACUGGGCGUAAAGCGCACGCAGGCGGUCUGU